rnacentral:rRNA from 1 species
GAUGAACGCUGGCGGCGUGCCUAAUACAUGCAAGUCGAGCGAACAGACGUGGAGCUUGCUCCUCUGACGUUAGCGGCGGACGGGUGAGUAACACGUGGAUAACCUACCUAUAAGACUGGGAUAACUUCGGGAAACCGGAGCUAAUACCGGAUAAUAUAUUGAACCGCAUGGUUCAAUAGUGAAAGACGGUUUUGCUGUCACUUAUAGAUGGAUCCGCGCCGCAUUAGCUAGUUGGUAAGGUAACGGCUUACCAAGGCAACGAUGCGUAGCCGACCUGAGAGGGUGAUCGGCCACACUGGAACUGAGACACGGUCCAGACUCCUACGGGAGGCAGCAGUAGGGAAUCUUCCGCAAUGGGCGAAAGCUUGACGGAGCAACGCCGCGUGAGUGAUGAAGGCCUUCGGAUCGUAAAACUCUGUUAUUAGGGAAGAACAAAUGUGUAAGUAACUAUGCACGUCUUGACGGUACCUAAUCAGAAAGCCACGGCUAACUACGUG